CUGUCUGCUGUCUUUAUUAGUAUCACCUGUUUGUGCUCCCGCCCUCCUCGUUAGCCAGUGCUUAAAUGUGUGUGACUUCUGUUCAGCUGUUGCUGGUUUGUUGUAUGUUCAUCCACUGCUGUGUGUCCUGCUUGCCUGCCUCUGCUACUUUGUUUGUUGGAUUAUCCUUUUGUUCUGUCUUCCCCUGGAUCAUUUGUUUAUGGACUGUGUUUUUGCUGCUCUGUUGAUGACCUUGGUUUGGACUCUGCUCCCUCUCCACACCACCUCCUGCUCAUCAGAUCCAGAGCAUUUCCUUCAUCUCUUCAUCACCACCACCAGUGUCUAAACCCCAUCGGGGGGUCUCUACAUCACUACGGCUUCACCAACCCCUUUAAAUACCACGUCAUCGCAAUGGGUGUGAAAUGACAUUUACCUCUAGUUAAUCGUAUCCAGUGCCCGGGUUGAGUUCAUCAGAGUCCACUCCUCAUCACAUCCAGUGUGUGCAGGUAAUGGAGAACAGGUGGGCACACUGGAUUGGUCCUGCAGAGCUGAUUGCUACCUCCUGAUUGGUCAACUGUAUGACAGCAGCCAUCUUAAACCCCACUGACAGGAACUCCCCUCUCUCUCUGCCAUUCCCAACCUGAGCCUGUGUACUGUGUGUUAUAUCUGUGUUAGUUGUGAGUAGAGAACUGUUGUGACCAUACGAGACUUUUUAAGUGAACCUGUGUAGUGAACACAUUGAACUUUGAAUAGCUUAGCUUUGGAAUUCUGAUUAUUGUCGUUGACAACCUUGUUUUGUUGCUUUCGCCAUUUUGUUUGUUACACAGAUUGUCUUUGUUGGAGCUGUGUUUUGUGAGGUAUUAGCAGUUUAGUAGGAGUUUUGAAGCCCUUUUUGUUUGCACCAUCUUUCUCCUGUAUUUGAUAAUAGAAGUCUAGUUUAGAGCUUUGUCUUUUAUUUACUUUUGUUUUUGGGUUAGGAAAGUUUUAGGUUCUUAUGUUUUGGGCACGGCUCAUCUCUGAAGCAAAUAAAAACUGCUAAAUUGUA